GUUUCUUUGACACAUUCACGCUGAGUUUUCAUCUUGUGUAGAAAAUUCGCUAAAUAACAGUUAUGUUAGCUGACCUUCAAGAUGGUGUGACAUGUUUCGAUUUGAAAUAAGGUAUUUGAUCAUUUAUGUGAAACAAUGGUGAAUUUGAUUGUAGUUCUGAUACAACACAAUCAGAUGUAAAUUAUAUAGGUGAACUGAGAAUUUUUCAUAAACUACUCUUAGAGAGUGGUACUUCAAUGUAAGCAAACUAUCUUAACUGACGAGUUAUUGGAACAGUAAUGGAAAAUGUGAAAUUGUGUUCUUCUAUUCUUUGUGUUGGUUGUUAAACCAACUAUAGAAAAGAGUAGAAUUGUUAGUUUGCUACACUAACAGAACAGAAGCACCAGAGAUGUUAAUGUUUUAAUGAUACGGUUAUUGAUUUCAACUGUUCUAAUCUAUUUGGACCAAAGAAGUAGAGAGAUAUUGGGAAUAUAGGGUUUGAGUGUUUGAUAGUGUGUGGUUCUAAUGUAUCAGCGAGAUGCAACAAGCUAACGUAAUGGACAUAUUUGUGAUGAUGUACUGUGCAGUUGCAACUGAUCUUCUCAAGAUUCACGGACAGGUACAGGACACUUGAAAGCGAUCCGGCAAUAGAGGACUUGUUGGAGCCGAGAGAGAGACUGAGCUUGGCCUAAAAGGACAACUGUGAGGUGGCUGAGAUGAGAUGGAUCUCACAGACACACAGACAGACUGUCCUACAGCUGAGAGAGGAGUCUACUCUGGGGCGCUUGCACGUCUAGGUGCUGCACGUCUACAGGAUGCUGGGUUCCUGUGAGCUGGACUGAUUCGAGUCCUGAUGAUUCUGCAAUGUGAUGGAGAAGGCAACCUCCAACCGAGAGGAUGGAGGCAAAGGAAAGCUCCGGUUCGGGACAACGGGGGCCGCAAAAGAUCUACUGAACAAUAUCAUGCUACGCUGAUUGGGUCCAUACCAGGUACAUCUCAUCUGCUGUCCAGGUAGCUGAGAGAGGAACCUGCAGGUCGACGACACGCUACAGGAGGGCUUCAUUGUUUAAAGAAAUGGUUCAUAACUGACUGUCUGACGUUUGGAGGAGCAGAACAUUUGUGAUGACUUUGGAAGUACAUCCAAAUGGAACCAUGGAGAGGACUUUUCAGUGAAUCAAGCAAAUGGCAUGAGAGGACUUUGUAACAGUGAUACAUUGAAGGAUGUAUUCAGUGAUAGGUGUUUAUUUUAACAUAAAAAGGUUUGAUACCAAGGUUUGACAUGGUAUCAAGAGGAUGGAUUGUUGUGGAAAUUUCUCUAACCAAUGUAUUCUCUCUGAUUAAAGGACUGAGAGCCCCUUAUUCAAAUUAGAAAAGGAAUGUGGGGGAUCUGGUAUUUGCCUAGGGGGCAUCUAU
ensembl:lncRNA